rnacentral:tRNA from 1 species
AGGCCUGUAGCUCAGGUGGUUAGAGCGCACCCCUGAUAAGGGUGAGGUCGGUGGUUCAAG